rnacentral:misc_RNA from 1 species
GGGUGCUGCACCAAAGGGCCCCAAACUUGGUGGUGGCGGUGGCAAACGAUGAUCUUCUCGUAUCUGUUCAUUUCAUAUCUAUUAAGUAGCACGGUUGGAAUUUUUGUUUUUCCAUAAUUUCAUCAGGAUACUAAAUUGGUUUUGUUAUCCUUCAAGAUUUUCCUUGCAUUCAUUUAGUGGGGUUCUUUUACUUGAAAGGUUUUCUAAGGCACUAAUAUCAUAUUCAUUUGUUCUGCUCAAGUAAUUAGUUUUCAGCCCUUGGUGAUUUGAUAUUGCUUUACGUCUUCACCCCAUUAUAGGGUAUAGUCGAUGCACAGGGAUAGGGAAAAUAGAUAGAAAAAUAUGGUGAUUUUAUUUUCACCCUUUUUUGGGCUCGCUCAUUUGGGCAAAACAUGUAAUUUGGUUUUAUCAAACAUGGAUUGGAGUUCACUCUAAAUUCAUCAAAUGGGCCAGUCUUUUCUACUGAACUGCUGCCAGGGAGUAGAAGCUAAAGGCUUUUCUCUCUCAAGUAUUUUAGACAGAUUUUCUCUCCUUCAAGUAGUUUUCUUAGGGCUCAUCCCUAGCUUUCAUGCCGGUUCCUUGCGGCUUUUCCUACCUCUACCAAGGGAGGGGAAGCUACUUACGCCCACCUAGUGGUGGGUUUACUUUCCUCACCACUGAGUAAGCUGUAAACUGUCACGGGCUUUAAUAUGGUACUUGCCAAAAAAAUCUUCGCGUU